rnacentral:rRNA from 1 species
AACUCUGGACAAUGGCGGAAACCCUGACCCACCCAUCCCGCGUGUAUGAUCAAGGCCUUCGGGCUGUAAAGUACUUUUGGCAGCGAACACACAGUACCCCCUAUUACCGGAUCCUUCUGACGUCAUCUGCAUAAUAACCACCGUCUAACUCUGUGCCAGCAGCCGCGGUAAUACGUAGUGUCCAAGCGUUAAUCGGAAUUACUGGGCGUAAAGCGUGUGUAGGCGGUUCGGAAAGAAAGAUGUGGAAUCCCAGGGCUCAACCUUGGAACUGCAUUUUUAACUGCCGAGCUAGAGUAUGUCAGAGGGGGGUAGAAUUCCACGUGUAGCAGUGAAAUGCGUAGAUAUGUGGAGGAAUACCGAUGGCGAAGGCAGCCCCCUGGGAUAAUACUGACGCUCAGACACGAAAGCGUGGGGAGCAAACAGG